rnacentral:misc_RNA from 1 species
GAUGAAGAAUGUAGCGAAAUGCGAUAAGUAGUGUGAAUUGCAGAAUUCAGUGAAUCAUCGAAUCUUUGAACGCACAUUGCGCCCCUUGGUAUUCCAUGGGGCAUGCCUGUUCGAGCGUCAUUUGUACCUUCAAGCUUUGCUUGGUGUUGGGUGUUUGUCCAUUCUCUUGCAGAGGGACUCGCCUUAAAGUAAUUGGCAGCCAGUGUUUUGGUUUUGAAGCGCAGCACAAGUCGCGAUUCAAAGCUAUACGCCCGCUUCCACAAGCCUUUUUCACUUUUGACCUCGGAUCAGGUAGGGAUACCCGCUGAACUUAAGCAUAUCAAUAAGCGGAGGA